rnacentral:tRNA from 1 species
GAUCUAGUAGCUUAACCAGGUAGAGCAGCCCGCCGCGGCGGGAAGGUUGCAGGUUCAACUCCUGCCGGGAUCA